CGGGUGAGUAAUACAUAAGUAACCUGGCCUUUACAGGGGGAUAACUAUUGGAAACGGUAGCUAAGACCGCAUAGGUGUGAUAACCGCAUGGAGAUGACAUGAAAUAUGCUACGGCAUAGGUAGAGGAUGGACUUAUGGCGCAUUAGCUAGUUGGAGGGGUAACGGCCCACCAAGGCGACGAUGCGUAGCCGACCUGAGAGGGUGACCGGCCACAUUGGGACUGAGACACGGCCCAA
rnacentral:rRNA from 1 species